UUGAAGGAGACGCUGCGGUAUCCUCGGA
rnacentral:sRNA from 1 species